rnacentral:rRNA from 1 species
ACCCGCUGAACUUAAGCAUAUCAAUAAGCGGAGGAAAAGAAACCAACAGGGAUUGCCCUAGUAACGGCGAGUGAAGCGGCAACAGCUCAAAUUUGAAAUCUGGCUUCGGCCCGAGUUGUAAUUUGCAGAGGAUGUUUCUGGCGCGGUGCCUUCCGAGUUCCCUGGAACGGGACGCCAUAGAGGGUGAGAGCCCCGUAUGGUUGGAUACUAAGCCUGUGUGAAACUCCUUCGACGAGUCGAGUAGUUUGGGAAUGCUGCUCAAAAUGGGAGGUAAAUCUCUUCUAAAGCUAAAUAUUGGCCAGAGACCGAUAGCGCACAAGUAGAGUGAUCGAAAGAUGAAAAGCACCUUGAAAAGGGGGUUAAACAGUACGUGAAAUUGUUGAAAGGGAAGCGCUCAUGACCAGACUUGUGCUGGGCAGCUCAUCCGGGGUUCUCCCCGGUGCACUCUGCCCAGUUCAGGCCAGCAUCGAUUUUUGCUGGGGGAUAAGAACGGUAGGAACGUGGCCCUCCUUCGGGAGGGUGUUAUAGCCUGCCGUACGAUACCCUGGCGGAGAUCGAGGUUCGCGCAUCUGCAAGGAUGCUGGCGUAAUGGUCAUCAGCGACCCGUCUUGAAACACGGACCAAGGAGUCGUCCAUUAGAGCGAGCGUUUGGGUGUAAAACCCGCACGCGUAAUGAAAGUGAAAUUAGGUGAGAGCUUCGGCGCAUCAUCGACCGAUCCUGAUGUUCUCGGAAGGAUUUGAGUAAGAGUUUUAACGGACGGACCCGAAAGACAGUGAACUAUGCUUGUAUAGGGUGAAGCCAGAGGAAACUCUGGUGGAGGCUCGCAGCGGUUCUGACGUGCAAAUCGAUCGUCAAA